AAUCUCUUAAAGCUUCUCUCAGUUCGGAUUGCAGGCUGCAACUCGCCUGCAUGAAGCCGGAAUCGCUAGUAAUCGCGGAUCAGCACGCCGCGGUGAAUACGUUCCCGGGCCUUGUACACACCGCCCGUCACACCACGAGAGUUUGUAACACCCGAAGUCGGUGAGGUAACCUUUUGGAGCCAGCCGCCUAAGGUGGGAUAGAUGAUUGGGGUGAAGUCGUAACAAGGUAGCCGUAUCGGAAGGUGCGGCUGGAUCACCUCCUUUCUAAGGAA
rnacentral:rRNA from 2 species